rnacentral:rRNA from 1 species
UACGAAGGGGGCUAGCGUUGUUCGGAAUUACUGGGCGUAAAGCGCGCGUAGGCGGAUAUUUAAGUCAGGGGUGAAAUGCCAGGGCUUAACCUUGGAACUGCCUUUGAUACUGGAUGUCUGGAGUACGGGAGAGGUGAGUGGAAUUCCGAGUGUAGAGGUGAAAUUCGUAGAUAUUCGGAGGAACACCAGAAGCGAAGGCGGCUCACUGGCCCGAUACUGACGCUGAGGCGCGAAAGCGUGGGGAGCAAACAGG